CCUACGGGUGGCAGCAGUGGGGAAUAUUGCGCAAUGGGCGAAAGCCUGACGCAGCGACGCCGCGUGAGGGAUGAAGGUCUUCGGAUCGUAAACUUCUGUCAGCAGGGAAGAAAGGUCACUGUGCUAAUCAGCAGUGAAUUGACGGUACCUGCAAAGGAAGCACCGGCUAACGCCGGGCCAGCAGCCGCGGUAAUACGGAGGGUGCGAGCGUUAAUGGGAAUUACUGGGCGUAAGGCGCUUGUAGGCGGGAUGCCAAGUCAGGGGUGAAAUCCUGUCGCUUAACGUUAGAACUGCCUUUGAAACUGGCAAACUAGAGUGUGGGAGAGGAUGGUGGAAUUCCAGGUGUAGGAGUAAAAUCCGUAGAGAUCUGGAGGAACA
rnacentral:rRNA from 1 species